rnacentral:lncRNA from 10 species
CCAGGCCACCCUCAGCGACCCUGAAACCUGUGUUCCUGCAGCCAGACCAGGCAGCCAGCUCAUGGGAGGCCACCAACUUCGGAAGGGUUCCUCACGCCCGCCCUCCUUGUUUGCCAUCACUGUUGCCCUAGCAGCUGGAGAGGUGUUUGGGGUAUUCGCCUGUGAACCAGUUUGAAACAAGAGGGGCAGCAUUCGCCCAGCCCGGGACAGAGGGACAUGUGGGAUAUAUCCCGAGCCCUCUCCGAGACAGCCAUUCUCCCAUCUGUGGCUGUAUGCACCCCAACUUGGGGUGCAUUUACAAAUGCAGAUUCCAGGGUCCCUCCCUGGAAGAGAUUACGGUUGGGACAAUUCAAGGAGUGGAAAAUUGUGCUGGCCCUCCAGCCCACAUGGGCUGACUCACGCUCAGCUCUGGGCUGGGGGCCCUGUGAGCUCCCCACAGUUCUCCUGGGGCCAGAGGGGAGGCCAGGCCCUGGCAGCUGGAGCAGGAGAGGGUCUACGAGAUGGGAGAUUCUCACUGUGUUGCCCAGGGUGCCUUGAACUCCCGAGCUCAAGCCAUCCUCCGGACUAAGCCUCCCACAGUGCUGGGAUGACAGUCGCCUGCCGCCACGCCCAGCCUGAAUUGUUAAUUUUAUUGUUUAUGUGUAUUGUUAUUUAUGUAA